AGAGUUGAUCAUGGCUCAGGAUGAACGCUAGCGACAGGCUUAACACAUGCAAGUCGAGGGGCAGCACGGGAGUAGCAAUACAACUGGUGGCGACCGGCGCACGGGUGAGUAACGCGUAUGCAACCUACCUAUCGAGAGGGAAUAACCCGGCGAAAGUCGGACUAAUACCGCAUAAAACAGGGGCACCGCAUGGUGAUAUUUGUUAAAGAAAUUCGCUGAUAGAUGGGCAUGCGUUCCAUUAGGUAGUUGGUGAGGUAACGGCUCACCAAGCCGACGAUGGAUAGGGGAACUGAGAGGUUGGUCCCCCACACUGGUACUGAGACACGGACCAGACUCCUACGGGAGGCAGCAGUGAGGAAUAUUGGUCAAUGGGCGGGAGCCUGAACCAGCCAAGUCGCGUGAAGGAAGAAGGAUCUAUGGUUCGUAAACUUCUUUUGCAGGGGAAUAAAGUGCAGGACGUGUCCUGUUUUGUAUGUACCCUGAGAAUAAGGAUCGGCUAACUCCGUGCCAGCAGCCGC
rnacentral:rRNA from 1 species